rnacentral:rRNA from 1 species
AGAACGAACGCUGGCGGCGUGCCUAACACAUGCAAGUCGAACGAGAAAGGGGUAGCAAUACCCUGAGUAAAGUGGCGCACGGGUGAGUAACACGUGACUAACCUACCCUUGAGUGGGGGGAUAACUGAGGGAAACCUUAGCUAAUACCGCAUAAUACCCACGGGUCAAAGGAGCAAUUCGCUCGAGGAGGGGGUCGCGGCCGAUUAGUUAGUUGGCGGGGUAAUGGCCCACCAAGACGAUGAUCGGUAUCCGGCCUGAGAGGGCGCACGGACACACUGGAACUGAAACACGGUCCAGACUCCUACGGGAGGCAGCAGUGGGGAAUUUUGCGCAAUGGGGGAACCCUGACGCAGCAACGCCGCGUGGAGGAUGAAGUCCUUCGGGACGUAAACUCCUUUCGAUCGGGACGAUUAUGACGGUACGGAAGAGAAGCCCCGGCUAACUUCGCGCCAGCAGCCGC